CUACCGUUGCUGUUGCAUCAAAUGAUUUGAGUGAGUUUUCGGAGAAGGAAUGAUUGAAUUUGCUUGGAGCUGAGCCCUAGGACCAUGCCUCAGGACUACCUGGCCUGAUGACUCCUUGCUGUCCCCAGUCCACCUGGUCGUGCUGCUGCACCAGUUUCAACUGUUCUGCCUGCGGCUGUGGAACCCUGACCUGUUCACCGGACAUGCUACCUGUCCCAGACCUGCUGUUUCAACUCUCUAGAGAAAGCAGGAUCGGUAGAGAUACUCUGAAUGAUCGGCUAUGAAAAGCCAACUGACAUUUACUCCUGAGGUGCUGACCUAUUGCACCCUCAACAACCAAUGUGAUUGUUAUUAUUUGGCCCUGCUGGUCAUCUAUGAACAUUUGAACAUCUUGGCCAUGUUCUGUUAUAAUCUCCACCCGGCACAGCCAGAAGAGGACUGGCCACCCCUCAUAGCCUGGUUCCUCUCUAGGUUUCUUCCUCGGUUCUGGCCUUUCUAGGGAGUUUUUUCUAGCCACCGUGCUUCUACACCUGCAUUGCUUGCUGUUUGGGGUUUUAGGCUGGGCUUCUCUACAGCACUUUGAGAUAUCAACUGAUGUAAGAAGGGC
ensembl:lncRNA